CCACUCUCAGGAUCACACCUGGAGAGUUUCCAGUACUCUACCAGUCUCGAAUAUGGGAGGGAGAGUCAAGCAGAGGCAUACCCAUCCCAUUCCUAGCUUGGGCAGUGACUAGCGAGUGGAAGGCAAUCUGCUAUAAAU